UACGUAGGGCGCAAGCGUUAUCCGGAAUUAUUGGGCGUAAAGAGCUCGUAGGCGGUUUGUCGCGUCUGCCGUGAAAGCCCCGGGCUUAACUUGGGAAUUGCGCUCGAAACUACGUGGCUGGAGUGUGGCAGAGGAAGGUGGAAUUCCAGGUGUAGCGGUGAAAUGCGUAGAGAUCUGGAGGAACACCGAUGGCGAAGGCAGCCUUCUGGGCCAACACUGACGCUCAUGCACGAAAGCGUGGGGAGCAAACAGG
rnacentral:rRNA from 1 species